GAUGAAGAAACGCAGCGAAAUGCGAUAAGUAGUGUGAAUUGCAGAAUUCAGUGAAUCAUCGAAUCUUUGAACGCACAUUGCGCCUUCCGGUAUUCCGGAAGGCAUGCCUGUUCGAGCGUCAUCAAACCUCUCAGAAACAGCUUUAUGUUGUGUCUGGAAUUGAAGUAAGAGAGUCACAAGUUGAUUCUCUGCUUUGAAACUCAAUGGCAAAUUAUGCUCUGCAUUUUUAACGUAGUAACAUUACAAUCGUUAGAAAGCACAGAUGUGUAGCCGAAACCCUCUAUAUUUCUUUAGGUUGACCUCGGAUCAGGUAGGGAUACCCGCUGAACUUAAGCAUAUCAAUAAGCGGAGGA
rnacentral:misc_RNA from 1 species